CCGCCUGGCCACAACACUGGGGGCCGGCUCCUCAUGCAGGGGGAACAGGGACUGACCAGGUGGCAUCUGCAGAGAGGACCUGGGCUGGACACCCUGCCAAAGGUGUGCAGGGCCUGCCCAGCUGACUCUGCAGAAGUUGCCUGGAGCCAGCUUGGCGCUGGGGAGUGACACGCACAUUCCCACCCUGCAAUGUCUGGGACACAAGUCAGUGGGGAUGGGAACAUGCUUGGACGUGCCUGAGAUGGGUCCUCGCAUGGUGCUGGUGGGAAUUGAAAUUGGCACAACCAUUCAGGAAGGGAGUGACCAUGCCCAACCGCAGGACCUGGGGUUGCUGUCUGGGCAUCAGUGCCAGAGAAGUGAGCACUGGUGUGCCGGUGGAGAGGGACACGUCUGCCAGUCAAGGAGUGGGCCGAAGAUUGUGGCCACCUGUACACGGGAACUGAGAGGCGCUGACAGCUCAUCAAGCCUGGAAACUGGGUGAGUGAAGCUGCACAGACCCUUUCGUUUAAAGAAAGGUCUAGAGCAGGCAGUCCUGGAGCCUGGACGUGGCUCAGUGGAACUCUGAGUUGGGCAGAUGACACUGGGGGACAGCUGAGGGUCCAGGGUUGGUUUGGAGGUGGUGGGCUGUGGUGCUGGCCACGCACUCUGGAAGCUUGCGGGCACACUGUGUGCGUGGGAUGUACGAAGGGCGGCUCCUGCCUCAGGAGCAGCAGUUCCCUGAGAGGAAGCAGGGACGCGCCCCCGUGUCCACAGCAGCCCAGAGUCGGAAGCAACCCAGGUGAUUUGUAGGAGCGCGGCUAAAGACACAGGUGCUGCUCAGCCGGGAAGGAACCAGCCCUUGUGCCGCUCAGCAGCCUGGGGGCUCCCUGAGAAUCACCCAGAGUUUCAGAAGCACCCAUCCCAGCCAGGACGUGCUGGAGGGUCCUUUUGUUACCGCUGUUGUGACCGGUGACGAGUUCUUGCUUCCCCAAUGUUGAAGAAUAACACCAGAGAAAUUAGAAGUUUAUUAAAGGACAGCAGAAAAGACUUCUCCCGGAGGAAGAAGGGGACCCAAGAGGUGGAAUCCAUGGAAGGGAUGUUGUCUCCCCUUUUUAUAGUUCUUUCAGUAAUGGAAUGUAGGUGGGAAGGACCGAGGGGUGGGACACAGGUGGGCCAAAGAAGUAAUCUGGUCAGGAAGGACUGAGUCAGCACCUUUUUGCUGGGGGCUGUUCAUUAACAUUUCUUUGAGGUGGACUUUGGCCUAGGGCCUUUUCGGACUUCAUUAACAUUCCUUGAGUUGUCCUGCGUUUCCCGGAAUCAUUGCCAGCAUGGCCUCCAUUUUAGAUUUCACUCGGUAUUAGACCCGAUUUACCUAACUACACUGACUACCUAACUUUAAAUCUGGCUUCACUUUGGCUAAGGCUCUCUAAGUGACUGGAGAGAAGACGGAUAGAUCCGUGGGUGCCGGGGCAGGGAGGCACCUGUUGAUGAUGACACUCUGUCUGUGCCAGGCCGACUGUGGGAAGGUGUCGUGGGCUGAGGGGCCACCACGCAGGUGCCUGCAGGACUGGGGGUUUGGGAUUGUGGGGGCGCUGGCCGCCUUCCUGUGGUCAGGUUGAGCUUUGGUCUUGUCCCCUUGGGAAGCUGGGAGGGGUCUCCUCCCUACAGCUCCUGUAAGUCUGUGGUCACCCAAGAGUACAGGCUUCAGGCCGGGGGCCCUGGGCAUGCCAUGACCCAGUGACCUGAGAGGCUGAGGCAGGGAGACUGGGACACCUCCUGUGGCCACAGCCAGCUCAGCAUCCAGAGCCAGAGGGCUGUAGGCCACUCAGGAGGAGCUGCUCAUUUGUAUCUCAUUUUCAAGUUAUUAUGGAGCUGCCGCUUGUGAGAGUGUUUUGACAGCAGCUGUCAGCAAGGUGCAAGUGGCUGCCAUUACCUCCGAUUGGCUGAAGACACCUAUGGCAGCCAGUGGAAUAUUGGCCAGGCCAGCCUGCCACCAGGGGGAGGAGGCAGGAGGGAAAGAAAACAGCUCAGGCCGCCCAGCCCUGUGUCAUUAGCAUUGUUCUGACUCCCAGUUGAGAAGGCAGCCGGAAAAGACUCGGAUUGUGUCUUGUGUUUUAUUUAAUUUAUUUUAUUUGAGGUUUCAGGCAGCCGGGGAGGUGGGAGGAGAGAGGAUCCAUCCAAACAACCGUUUAGGCGUGUCAGAGUUCAUUUAUUGAAUUAGCGAGGUGACCUCUCAGGGCUCCCAGCUGCCUGGCUGCAGCCCCUGGGACGGGAGCUGGGCGCUGGUGAAGGAGCUCAAAUGCAGGAGCGGGUGCUCCAGCCAGGGAAGCAGGAUGCAGGAGCGGGUGCUCCAAUCAGGGAUGCCCCCCUCUCUCCCUCUCUCUCCCUCCCUCUCUCUCUCUCAUCCCCUUUCUCCCUCUCCCCCCCUUCUUAACUGAAGUGUGGAGGGACACACAUGCUCCCUCCUUCCCUGAAGAUUCUUCUCUAUCCAUGACAUAAAUCAUCCCCAUGUGUUUUGCCAGACACGGUGCAGCUGUGCACACAGGCAGGAGCCUGUGGGGCGCUGGGAAUCACUGCCUUUCACCUAAGAGUCUUAAAACUCAUUGUUUGUUUGGUUGGUUUCAUUCUGUUUUUAAGUAUGAAAAAAACUGUCAGCAACACCAGAAGGCAGCUGCCUGGUGAUGGGGGCACAGUCUGCCUCCACCGAGGGCCCAUGGGGGUGCUCUGCUGUGCACACGCAGCCAGAGAAUGUUGGCACGGCACAAGGAGACUAUGUGUCACUCUUGUUUCCACCCAGAAGGUCCCCUGCAGCAGCUCUGCCCCCCCCCCAGCAGCAGCUCUGUCCCCCAGCCAUCUGAAGCCCCUCUCCCCUCUGCCUGGGAGGGCUGGCCCUGGGUCUUCCUUCCUAUAGGUACCAGAGAGCCAAAGGGGGCCACAGUCUGGGGUGCAGUGUUCAACCGGGCCACUUGUCAGGGGACAUGUGGUGACAAUUGGGGUUGUCAUGGCUUGAGGGGUGCUACUGGCCUCUAGGCAGGAGCCAGGGGUGCUGCUGAAUGUCCUUCAACAUGCAAGACAGCUGAGGUUGGCGCUCGAGUCUGUGGGAAGGGGCUUUGUCAGCGGAGGGGACAGUAGUGAGCUUUGAGGCUCCGAGGUUCAAAGUGGGGUGCAGAUGGCAUGGGCCAUCUAGGACAUCUGGGGGGAAUGGCUGCUGCCCAGUAAACCCAGGAGUACUCCUGGUCAUUGCAACAACCAAACCUGGGCCCACAGGUGCCCCCCACCCCCCAGCAGUGCCACCCUGUAAGUUGUACUGAUGUCAUCGACAUAGCAAAACAGAAUCCUGCCAAUUGACACAUCUGCCUAUGUCAACCGUGUCCUCCCCUCCCCAAGUCCUUGUGCAAAAGUGAACCUGGAGACAAUCGGAUCCUAUUUAACCUUGUGGUGUUGGUGAAAUGCCUCCUGCUGUAUGUAACCCAAGGAUUCCAGAAACAGGGAAGUUCACAGGGAAGACCCAGAGCUUUUCUGAUCCUUCCCCAAGUUCUCCACAAACAGGGGAACACAGCGUACAUCACUGGGCGUGGUGCAAAGAGAUUAAUAGGACCCUGCGGGGGAAGUGCUAAGUGUAGACUCUGGGGAGCAAACCCUGGAAGAUGUCCUUAGUGUUGGGAGUCCCUGGCUCCAAAGACUAACUUCCCCAUCCCCCCCCCCCAGAAGAGCCGUCCAAUGGUGAGCCCUGCUGGCUCACAUGAUCCUUACCCACCAAUCAGACUAGCUCUGCUGGCUCACAUGAUCCUUACCCUCCAAUCAGAAAGCACCCCAUGCCAACUGUCAAACCCUUCAACCAUUAAACUCUCAUAACUGUCAAACCUCCCCCGGCUCUAUAAAUAUUCAGAGGAGUUCCUCAAUAAACGGGCAUUUUCUCCAACAACGAGCCUUGUUCAUUGCAUUCAUUCUUUCCUUCAAGAACCUCCCUCCCAGAGGACACCGAAUCCCACCAUGUGAAUUCUAGGAGCCACUAGGGGGUUCUUCAGGGUCAUCCUGCUCCAGGAGCAAGGGAGCUGGACGUCCAUCCAGCAGCUCCCACAAGCCCUUGGCCAGGGCUUCUCUGUUAAUCUCCAAUGGGCAAACCCUACCAUACCUAAACCCAAACCCAAAUCCCCCAACCCCCAGGAUAAUAAAACAAUGAGUUAUGGCCUGACAAUAGGAAACAGAGCCAGCCACACCAGAGCUGUAGUGAAUACCGUGGGGUACCAAGAGCAAACAAGGCAUGGCCCCUGUUCUCGUGAAGCUCAUCAUACAGAGAGGGAGGCAGGCACAGACCACUCCAUGAAAUGUCAGGUCACACAGAGGCAACACUACAAAGAACAGGUGUGUGACACUCAGGGUGUAAGUAGCAAAGAACUCUUCCAUAGUCCCUUUUGACACAGAAGGGACAUUUGAGCUGGAAUUCACAGGCCAAGGGAGCAGAGAAAGAACAGCAUGUGCAAAGUCCCUGUGGCACUAAGUAUAGCAGAAGCCAACUGGAGGGCUGGGAAGCAAAGAGAGAGGGGUCCAGUUGUAGAUGUGGCCAAACCUUGAAGUCUGUGUUAGGAGGGCCAGAGGGAACCUUUGAGGAUUUUAGGCAGAGAGAGGCCAAUUUCAGAGAAAUAUUUGGGUUGUUAUAAACAAUAAGUAGGUGUGGGUGGCAAGAGUGGAAGCAGGGAGACCCAGGUGCUCAGGGGUGCCUUCCACAUACCAGAUAGAAAAUGGUAAAGGCAACUAGCAGGUGUGAAAGACAUUCUUCUAGACCCCAGAGAGCUUUAUCCAAAAUGUCACACUACCCUCAUAAUCCAACGAGGAGGCAGGCACUCUUAUUUCUCCCCAUUUCAAGGAGGGAAAGAUGGAGACUCCAGUCUUCACUGAAGCAGUGGAUUAGUAACUAUCCAGCUCAGACUAGGAGAGCUAUAAAGAAGAGGGAAGGGGUGGGAAAUGCUUUUGGGUGACUUUGAUGCCACACUCUUUCAUUCAUCGAACACAUUCUGGUACAAAGCCCUCUCCCUGCUGGCCAUUCCUCAAGGAGCUUGUCCUCACCAUGAUGCUGCCUACCCCUCUUCCUGAUGUCCCUUUUAGGUAGGUCUUGUGGUGCCCCAUUUUACAGAUGAGAAUAUGGAUGCUCAGAGAGAUGACAUCAUCUGACCCUAAACACUUCAGACACAAGAGAAUAUCCUCCGGGUUCAGUCUCAGGUUGAUCCAAUUUUUAAACGCAUAUUAUUUCUUUGUCCAAUUCCACAGUCCCCGCCAAGACCCGGCUGAGCCCAGGAAGUUAUUCGCUGCAGGCCAGGAGGGGCCUGGGAGGUCUGGGAGGUACUGAGUGUUGACAUAGGGUCUCUGACAGGCAUGGUAUAUAGUUUUAAUUAAGGUUGUAAGGGAUGAAAUCUGAGAACUCAGGUGGGUGGCCUGUGGAUCCUUUGACAUUCUGAUGCAUUAUCUUUCAGAUCCACGGGAUGAGUACCUGGUCGAGUCCUGGAAUGUUCCGGAAUUAGGACUCGAGAGAUGCGAUCCCAUGUUAAAUGUAGGUGGAGAUGGACUGCAUGAAACCCAGAGUGGGGGCUGGGAGAGUGGGCUGGACCCAAGCCUGUUCCUCCUGUUCUUUCAUUAAAUAGAUUAAUUUGGAGCUGGGUAUGUGUUUUCAAGGUGCAGAAGUUAUUGGUCCCCUGGAGCUAGGGCAUGACCCAGUUCUCAGGAACUGCCCUGUGUGUCUGGAGACCAGCUGGGGUCUUCUUAAAGAAGCCCUGGGCUGGGGAACAGGGGUAGACUGAGGUCAAACUUGGCCCCUCAUUUUUUGGGGGGUGACUUUUCCUAUUUCCUCCCCUCCCCCACUCCCCUUGGUUCUUCCAGAGCUUUCCAUUCCAUGCCCUUAUUUGGAAGGCACUUGUACUCGUCAUUGGGGACAACUCAGUCACAACAAAUCUCAAGCAGACUCCCACUAGAGAUGCCGUCCUGACACCCCUAGCCCCUGACCCCUUCUUGCAUCUGCUCAUGAUUCCCCCCUCUUGAAUUUGUGGGUACAGAGCUAGACAGAAAAGGAACUACUCUUAAGAGGGAGGUGAGUGGAGGAGGGGACCACAGAGGCCCAGGAAGGGGUGGCCAUUCCUUAGGAAAGGGGAGCAGACAGCCCUUGGCCAGGGCCACCUGCUGGGUUUCUGUUCUAGGGACUAAAAGGCUCAGGGGUCACUCUAGUUAAACUGGGCUAACUGGGCUGCAUGAAAUAACCACACAAUG
rnacentral:lncRNA from 1 species